ACAAAAGGGUGUUAUCAAAUUUUGAUUAUAGAAAUUAGGAGAUUUCUCUACAUAUUGGAAAUGAUAUAUAAAAAUGAAAACCUGUUAUUUGUAGUUGAUGUAAUCAUUUGAAAACACUCUAUCCUUUUAAGUAAAAUAUUUGUGUUUUAAGUCUGGUUUUGAAAACUUCAGAAAUGAGAUAGUUUUAGUCAGACAGAAAGAAGCUAAUGUUUUCCUAAAUUGCUUCUUUUUUCUUUUAUCUUUCAGGUUAUUAUGUAUGGGUAGGCACUAAGCAUGCUUUCACUCUUAACCAUUUAGACAGCAGGGCUUACCUAAAUAGCUCUGUGUGUCAUUGCCUGGGCAAGAGCUGUCAUCUUCAAUUCUAUUAUGCAAUGGAAAGCAGUGUCCUGAGAGUAAGACUGUAUAAUAAUAAGGAAGAAGAAAUAUUUUGGACAUACAACAUAUCAACUCACAGCCAAUGGGUGAAAGCAGAUGUGUUAAUACCAGAAGAUCUGAAGACAUUUAAGAUUAUUUUUGAAGGGACUCUUUAGAGCCAGAGAAGUUUUAUUGCCCUUGAUCACCUCUGGGUCUAUGCCUGUGGACAGACCCAAUCCAGAAAGCUUUGCUCUGAAGAUGAAUUCCCUUGCACUAGUGGCCAGUGCAUCACCAAAGAAUCUGUCUGUGACUCUCGGCAGGACUGCUCCGAUGAGAGUGAUGAAGACCCAGCAACUUGCUCAAAGCAUCUCGCCUGUGACUUUGAGUCGGGUUUCUGCGGUUGGGAGCCAUUUCUCACAGAAGAUUCACACUGGAAGCUGAUG